GGUGGUUAUGAAGCAGACGAGGAGGGGGAAGAGUCGAGGCCACAGGAGUAACGUUACGCUGGUCUACGUGGAGUUGAAAAGGAUUGCUGGUAAGAAUUUUACGAGACCCUUGACCAACAUAGUACAUGCCUCUUGGAAAUUUUCAGAGCCAGAAAGGGAGUUGCUGGUCAGCUCUUGAUGAACCUUCUGAAAGCAACAAAGCUAUCAGAGCCAACUGAACUUUGGUGCUUCAAGGACUACCCCUUUGGUUUGGAGAUGACUCUCCUGCUUUCUUUAAGACGUGUUUGGUGUCUGAUGAUCACAGCUCAAUUCUUUAUGUGCCAGUGGGGAUUGUGAUAGUUGAAGAUGGGACAAGAUGGGUCUCCCUCUUCGAUUGGAAUCGUAAUCGAGGGAAAAUUAGAGAUGGACAAUCUACAUGAUCUUCCUGAAGCAAUGUGCCUUCUGUUCGGACUAAUAUAUGCAUUGCACCUGAGUUACCCAAAGUCGCUGGGAUACACGUUUGACUUCAUUCAGCGGAUUCUACUUUCCUUGGGGCAGAAAGAACUGCAGCCUAAAACAAAAUCAUUGGCAAACCAG